rnacentral:rRNA from 1 species
UACGUAGGGUGCAAGCGUUAAUCGGAAUUACUGGGCGUAAAGCGUGCGCAGGCGGUGAUGUAAGACAGAUGUGAAAUCCCCGGGCUCAACCUGGGAACUGCAUUUGUGACUGCAUCGCUGGAGUACGGCAGAGGGGGAUGGAAUUCCGCGUGUAGCAGUGAAAUGCGUAGAUAUGCGGAGGAACACCGAUGGCGAAGGCAAUCCCCUGGGCCUGUACUGACGCUCGAUGCACGAAA